UACGAAGGGGGCUAGCGUUGCUCGGAAUUACUGGGCGUAAAGGGAGCGUAGGCGGGUCUUUAAGUCAGGGGUGAAAUCCUGGAGCUCAACUCCAGAACUGCCUUUGAUACUGAAGAUCUUGAGUUCGGGAGAGGUGAGUGGAACUGCGAGUGUAGAGGUGAAAUUCGUAGAUAUUCGCAAGAACACCAGUGGCGAAGGCGGCUCACUGGCCCGAUACUGACGCUGAGGCACGAAAGCGUGGGGAGCAAACAGG
rnacentral:rRNA from 1 species